AGAAUCUUUCGCAAUGCCCGAAAGGGUGACGAAGCGACGCCGCGUGUGGGAAGAAGGCCUUCGGGUUGUAAACCACUGUCGGGAGUUAGGAAAUGUAAGGGUGUUAAUAGUAUCCUUACUUGACUAAGGCUCCGGAGGAAGCCACGGCUAACUCUGUGCCAGUAGCCGCGGUAAUACAGAGGCGGCAAGCGUUGUUCGGAAUUAUUGGGCGUAAAGAGCACGUAGGCGGCCUUGUAAGUCAGUUGUGAAAGCCUUCUGCUUAACGGAAGAACAGCAGCUGAUACUGCAAGGCUAGAGUGCGGAAGGGGAGAGUGGAACUUCUGGUGGAGCGGUGAAAUGCGUAGAUAUCAGAAGGAACACCGGCGGCGAAGGCGACUCUCUGGUCCGUAACUGACGCUGAGUGUGCGAAAGCUAGGGGAGCAAACGGGAUUAGAUACCCCGGUAGUCCUAGCCGUAAACGAUGAGCACUAAGUAGAGGGGUUUUGAUUAUCUCUCUGCCGGAGCUAACGCAUUAAGUGCCCCGCCUGGGGAGUACGGCCGCAAGGCUAAAACUCAAAAGAAUUGACGGGGGCUCGCACAAGCGGUGGAGCAUGUGGCUUAAUUCGAUGCAACGCGGAGAACCUUACCGGGGUUUGACAUGGUAGAAGUAGGAGCCUGAAAGGGUGACGAACGGUAUCCAGUCCGUGACUAUCACAGGUGUUGCAUGGCUG
rnacentral:rRNA from 1 species